rnacentral:ncRNA from 2 species
AAAAGUAGAGGAGUUGUUUUAUUGAAUUAGUGGAAACAAGGAAACACUUUAUUCAAUAAAACUAAAAA